UCCAGUUCCCUUUCCCCCUGGAGCUGAAUGCUAGUCUUGGUGGUUAUAAAGACCAAAAAGGAAUAUGGAAGCUGGCCUCACAGCCUCACUGUCUGAUACAUAGCAUGUGGGCUAGUUUCAAACAGGA
ensembl:snoRNA